CCUACGGGCGGCAGCAGUUUUUAAUAUUUCACCCUUUUUUCCCCCCUUCUUCCGCCCCGCCGCGUGCGUGAUGACGGCCUUCGGGUUGUAAAGCUCUGUCUUCAGGGACGAUAAUGACGGUACCUGAGGAGGAAGCCACGGCUAACCACGUGCCAGCAGCCGCGGUAAUACGUAGGUGGCGAGCGUUGUCCGGAUUUACUGGGCGUAAAGGGAGCGUAGGCGGACUUUUAAGUGAGAUGUGAAAUACUCGGGCUCAACUUGAGUGCUGCAUUUCAAACUGGAAGUCUAGAGUGCAGGAGAGGAGAAUGGAAUUCCUAGUGUAGCGGUGAAAUGCGUAGAGAUUAGGAAGAACACCAGUGGCGAAGGCGAUUCUCUGGACUGUAACUGACGCUGAGGCUCGAAAGCGUGGGGAGCAAACAGGAUUAGAUACCCGAGUAGUC
rnacentral:rRNA from 1 species